GGUCUUACAUUCUAGUACCAAAGAAUAAAUGCACAAUAUUUCCUUAUCAACCGGGUAAAAUUAGCGAAACUAGUGAAGUUGAAAGUACUGCAUUGAUUGUGUAGAGUUUAUUAGAAAAACGUGCUAUUGGUACUUUUACUGGUAAAGAUAUUCAUUUCAAAAAUGAAUUCAUUCCAGUGCAGUGUGUUUAAAGUUGUCAACAGAUUUUUUCUGUUCGCAAUUAUAUUUGUCUGUAUCGUAAAGUAUAAUACGAAUGGAGUUUCGGCCAAUAAUUUCGGAAAGGGUUUCACUAAAGAAUGUAUUCAUGGAAAUAUUACAAUUGGACGUCCAGUUUAUGGACAGAGACUGCUAAAUACAACAAACAUGAAUAAGUCGGGAAGCUGGUUCGGCAAGAACACCGUCAAAGUUCGAUUUCCCCCCUAUGGAUCUCGUCUUCGAGUGAAUAUUUCACAAGUUCAGAUUAUAAAUCGUUAUAGAGGAUGCGACUGUUACUGGAAUGAAACAAAAAUUUCAUCUGGUGGCAUCGGAAAAUCUUUCAUUGAACUGUCCCUAACAACUGGCUUCAGGUGUGACAACAACCAUUCCUUUUUGUUCUUCAACAGUUCCUCAUGGCGUUAGAUCAUCAGAUUCAGAGACGAUUGAAUCUAAUGCUUUAUGAUUAAGUAUAAUGAUGGUACUAACUGUAUGUAUAUGCUCUCGAUUUUUAUACCUACAUAUCUAUCUCGUUUUAAUUUAUCAGUAAGCACCGAAGUAACUAUAGUUUGAAUUAAUAUCUAUUCCAAGUGCAGUUGUACCUACUUACCUAUAAUUUUUUGAACUAAAAAUAAAAUUCACAAAAUACGUUGAAAUGCAUUCUUAUUUUCUGUUUGAAUUAAUAUUCAUUAUAUACUAGGGUUUGGCUUUGGCAUUGUUGCAAGCGAAUACUUCAUUUUCAACUUUCAGAAAUGUGAAUUUUCAAUUUUGCAGUUGAGAAGGCCGAACUGGCCGACGGCAGAGAAGAGGCAGAGAGACGAAAGUACAAAAAAUUGAAAAAAUACUUGCAUAGUAGAUACAUGCAUGUUGCACGAAUGCACGUACCUACUGUUUUCUUUUAUUUCUACAUUGAAGAAGUUUUCAUUCUGAGCUACUUAGUGAGCCAUUCUGACUUACGUGAGUUGAACUCUGGUUUGGUUUGGUUCCUGUACCGGCUGCAUCUGGCUGGAGUAAAGCCCUAGAACGUUCUGUUCGUCUGAGUCUGAAGCGUUGGAGAACUUGCAAGUUUCAAGCUUUCAACCAGCAAAGUAAAGUGAAGAAAACUUGACAGACGCAGACAGAGUCACGACCCUCUGCUCAGAUUAUUAAUCAUUAAUGAAAAUUGAAAAUGUUUCGAUUUCGAUUUUGAAUUUUUGAACAAUAUUGAAAGAGCAGAACUAGAACAGACUCAGGAUCAAGAACAACAAACGAGAAAAAUUUUUAAAAAAAUUCAAUUUUCUCAUUUUCUUGUUCUUCCGUAUAUUUUCCGGCGUUGCAAUAUCACAACGGCAGCCAUCAACUACACCCACCUACCCUCCGGCCUUUUGUCGUAAUCAGUCAAGUGUUAGUGAUAAUUUUUUGAAGAUUUUCGUUGUCCUUUUUCGCGAUUAAAUAAGUAAUUUUUUGUACAAUAAUAAUCGAAAUGUCGAAAUAUCAUGUGUAAUUGUGUAUUACUCGAACAUAUCAUCUCUCGGUGGAGUUGAUCGUCCUGCAGAUAUUCGUUUCUUACCACUUUAUCGUGAAUUUAAACUUCAAACUCGAAAUUAAUUAUGAGUCGAGAUAACGUCAAUAAAAUCUAUGUUCCCGACGAAUUACGUGAAAUCUUGUUUGAUUUCACUGUGAAUCAUCCUCUGCAACCUCAGGAAGAUGUAGUCACAUACGCUGAUUUUUUCAACCGAUUGAGGGAAACUCGUAAGGUGACGGAUAUAAGAUAAUCCUUCUAUCUGUUGGCAAAGAAUUAUUCAACUCGGAAGAUGAGGUUCUUGUGAAUUGGUUCGAUUCAAGACGAAAAUCUGUCAUCGGCUCAUCGCCGAAGCAUCCUGAAGAGAAUGAGGAUAAAGAUAAUAAAAAAGAACAAAUGAACGAAGUUAUCGAUGCUAUGGUUGAAAAAAAUCACGUUAGAUAAAGAAUUAUACCAUCAAACAAGGAGAUGAUAGAGAUAAUUUUUAUGUCAUUCAAGAGUAAGCGUUCAUUUACCAAAUAGAACUCGAAUUAUUGCAUUUUUCUUACUGCCUAAAGGUCUAGCUGCGGUGAAUUGGCUUUUGUACUAUCGAGAACGUACCAAUGCGAAAAGCUCUACAGAUUAAGAAGAUCGAAAAAAGUCGCUAUUUUGGUGAAUUGGCUUUGCUCACGCAUAAACACAGAGCUGCCUCGUUCUAUGCACUUGGUGAUGUCAAAUUACGAGUAGCUUUCUUGGAUAUGGAAGCGUUUGAAAGAUGAUUGGAUCCUUGUACUAUGAAAUGCAACAUCGACGACUACGAGAAUCAGCUAGUGAAAAUAUUCAGAUCAAAGUGUAACGUUAACAUGUCCGAUAACGAGCACAAUCUACCAAAGUGCCAUAAAAAAUCACCAAUUUUAAGUACAUAUAAUUUUUCUCUCGUUACAUUUUUUAUACGUACUUCGUUCUUAAUCAAAAUUUAUUUUUGUUUUUCGUUCUUUCACACGCCUUGUUUCGGUUUUUAGAAUUCGGAAAAUAUCACGUUAUCAUGAUGACGUGUGAAAAAAAAAUGCGAUGGUAUUAAUUUCUAAUAAUUUUGUAUGAACUUUUGUUGUCUUAUUCAUGAGCACUUUUAAUAUAGUAAAUUUCUAGCACGUUUUUUUUUUUUUUUUUUUUUUUUUAUACCUAAUCAGAAGUCAGAACCUGCCCUAUUUUUAUUGUAAUGUGAUUCACUUAUUUUACAUAGACAACUCAAAGUUGAGAAUGUUUUUUUUUUCUUUUUUAAUAAAAUUAAGUGGGUAAUCAAAAAUUUUCACCAUCAUGGAAUGAGCAAUAUUCUGUUCUGAUUUUCAAUUUUUUUUUUUUGUGUUAGUUUUGUUCGUGAGCAGUAUUUCUAUCAAUUGAAGGAAUUGCAAAAAUUGUUUUCAAGUCUAGGCUUCAUGUUGAAAAAUUGGCUUUUCACUUCAUUAUUCAUUAAUAUCUAUCUUUUUAACAUACGUCUCAAUAAUCUACUUCAAUUCGAGAUUCAAGGACCCAUUCCUCCGAACCUAUGAUCCAAAUCUGCAUAGAAAAUUCUCACUCGCCUUAUUCAAAGCGUAUAAGGUAAAAGAAGAAAAUCUACUUCGGGUGAGAAUUUCUCGAAAGUCGAAAGAAACACCAAAACCGAACCAGAGUUAGAAUUUAAAUCUUUGCGGUACGGCGACGGCAACGAACGAGCAAUGUUGCCGAACAAGAACCACGGUUUAAAAUUUCCAUCGAUGUAAGGGCCAGGGGAAGGGGGUAGGAGUUUGUACUGAUUCUGUGUUUCUCGCGGUGAUGCAGGAAAGGAACAGAAUUUGCCGAGUAUCUUUUGAUGUUGUCUCGAAGUUAGAACAUAGUCUGCUACGUGCGCUGUGGAUGAGAGAGGUGGGUGGGGAAAUUUCGCCAACUUUGAAAUGUUAAAUUCCAGCGAAUUCUUUAACCGCCGAUUUAAUUAGAGAGUUACUCAAAUGACAGCAUCGCUGCCUAUUUGUAGGCGUCAUUUGAAUAAUGCCGCCGUUCUCGUAGCGGCGAUAUUUUUACAGCAUUGGCCCCUUUAUCCUCUUCUCAAUCCCCCUCGUCGGUGAUGUACCACCUCAGAAGAUGUUAAACGAGUCGUGUCAAAGCGACUAGUACGAACGUAAUGGCGUUACUGUUGUUAAUUCGUCUUGUACAAUUUAAGCAUUAUUUUUCAGUCUUUUGUAUUUUUCAAAUACGUGUUCGAGGAAAUUGAUUAAUCAAUUUUCUGCAGUAUUUAUGCUCUAUAAUUCGAAGCAUCACCGUUGCAUGUAAAAAUAAUUUCAAAGUCUCGAGUGGUCGGUCAGAAUUUUUUCAAUUUUUUUUUUAGAUUAUUUUUUUAUAAUUACGCGAAAUUUUCUUCUAAAUUUAAUCAAAAGGUUCGAUGUUGGUACCCUUGACCACUGAAAAAAUUCUACGACGGCGUUCGGCACGUUAACUUUGACAAUCAUUGUGUAUUGUAGUAUUCGAUAAUCUACGAAUCCAAUUUGAACGAAGAGUAUUUUAAAAAUUUGUAACUAUUUGUUCGUACAAUAAGAACACAAAACGAAUAUUUAUAGAUUUUUUUUUUCGGUAGAAUGAAAUAAGGUAACGGUAAUGUUUCGAGGAACCCGAUGCUAUAAAUAAGUAAGACAAACAAAACCUUUUUACGUGUGUAUCAGUGUGUGAAAAAAAACAAAAAAAAACGUUUCAAUGUAGCAUAUUUAUGUAAAUGUAUAAUCAUACGAAAUGUAAAGUUACAUAAAUUUUAAAGCUGUCGUAAUAUUUUUCACGUAAUAUAUGUACAAUUUGUCUAUGUACAUAUUGUAAAAAUUCGUCAAUCUUUAACGAAUAUUACUAAUUUUGUUAAUUGAAAUUUAUGUACGUACCUAGGUACAUUCCAAACCUCCUCGUAUCACUGUUGUCUGUUCGUUGAGGCGUUUUCUUUUUUCUCUCUCCCUUUUUUCCUCUCGUUUCUUCGUGGGAUCUAAUAAUUAAGAAUUUAACGUACAAUUUAACAUAGGUAUUUAGGUACCAAGUUGAAGUUUAGAGAAAAAAAUUACUAAUCCUUAAUUAAUUUAUCAAUUUUGAAUUUUUUUAGGAGUACAAUAUUUGUUGUUUUGAUGAGAUAAAAAACAUAACUAGGUAAAAUUUAAAAAAAAUAAUAAUCCAUAUUACGAAUAAUUAUUGUGGUUUGAGACGGUUUUAAAUUUUAUUUUUAAUGGUAUGAGCUAUUUUAGCAGUAGUUGAUGUGCGUACAUUAAUGUAUUGUUUCGUUUUUUUAUUUUCAUUUUAUUCGUUAAUACGUUGUGUUGCAGUCCUAUAGUUUUUAAAUAUUCUGCUACCUAUUUAGAUUCCUGCGUUUAUGCUCAUCGAGUUAUAAAUUCCUAAAUACAGAAAACAUGAAUCAAAACAAUAAAAUCUCUGCUUAAUGCAGUAUUUUUUUUUUUUUUUUUUUGAACAUAGGUAAUUUUCGUUUUGUUUUUAUCGAUAUUUUUACUUAAGUAUUUGAUAUGAUGAAUUGAAUUAUACAAUAUUUUUUUAAAUAAAAAAAUGUGUUUUUUCAUCACUAGCUUCAAAAUCAUUUAUAAAAACGGGCUGUUAAUCCAACGCGUAUUUUACUAUGUUAUGUAUGUUUUUACCGAUAUGUGUAACUUUUUAUUCAUAAAUGGAUUAUCGUGUUAGUGUUCAGUCGUACCGUAGUUGAUAUUACAUAGUAAUUUUUAAGCAGUUUUAAAUUUUAAUUCAUUUAAUAAAUGUGUUAACUGA